rnacentral:rRNA from 1 species
GAUCCUGGCUCAGGAUGAACGCUGGCGGCGCGCCUAACACAUGCAAGUCGAACGGCACCCCUCUCCGGAGGGAAGCGAGUGGCGAACGGCUGAGUAACACGUGGAGAACCUGCCCCCUCCCCCGGGAUAGCCGCCCGAAAGGACGGGUAAUACCGGAUACCCCGGGGUGCCGCAUGGCACCCCGGCUAAAGCCCCGACGGGAGGGGAUGGCUCCGCGGCCCAUCAGGUAGACGGCGGGGUGACGGCCCACCGUGCCGACAACGGGUAGCCGGGUUGAGAGACCGACCGGCCAGAUUGGGACUGAGACACGGCCCAGACUCCUACGGGAGGCAGCAGUGGGGAAUCUUGCGCAAUGGGGGGAACCCUGACGCAGCGACGCCGCGUGCGGGACGGAGGCCUUCGGGUCGUAAACCGCUUUCAGCAGGGAAGAGUCAAGACUGUACCUGCAGAAGAAGCCCCGGCUAACUACGUGCCAGCAGCCGCGGUAAUACGUAGGGGGCGAGCGUUAUCCGGAUUCAUUGGGCGUAAAGCGCGCGUAGGCGGCCCGGCAGGCCGGGGGUCGAAGCGGGGGGCUCAACCCCCCGAAGCCCCCGGAACCUCCGCGGCUUGGGUCCGGUAGGGGAGGGUGGAACACCCGGUGUAGCGGUGGAAUGCGCAGAUAUCGGGUGGAACACCGGUGGCGAAGGCGGCCCUCUGGGCCGAGACCGACGCUGAGGCGCGAAAGCUGGGGGAGCGAACAGGAUUAGAUACCCUGGUAGUCCCAGCCGUAAACGAUGGACGCUAGGUGUGGGGGGACGAUCCCCCCGUGCCGCAGCCAACGCAUUAAGC